CGAUUAACUUUCCCUUUUUUUCUUUUUUUUUUCUUUUUUCCCCCUAUUUGUGUAAAUUGCCUUGACUAGGAUGCCUACAUUGUGAUUGCCUGCCUACAAAGGGGGCCAACUUAUGGCCCGUAUUUGACCCAGGUUUGGUCCGGGCUUUUCAAGGGCUGCUGGAAAUGCGUGGCCCAUUUUGACAUCUCAUUGACCAGUAAAAGAAGCUUUAAAAAUAAUGUCUAUUUCUUCUUGCUUAUGUCUCAAACAUGUAAAUUGUUUUAAUUAAUUGGAUUUUAAUGAUCAGAGCUUUCGCAUAUUUCUUAAAAAUGAAAGGCACGUUUUCAUAAUUUGAGUGGUUAAUUUGAAAAAUAUAAAAGAGAAACAUAUACAGUAUUCAAUAUAAUAUGAUACAUAUAACAUGUGUCUUGAUUUUAAUGGAUGGUCUAUCGCAUAGACACAAUAUCAUGAUAUCGAAU
rnacentral:lncRNA from 1 species